UGGAAGUAAAAGUCGUAACAAGGUUUCCGUAGGUGAACCUGCGGAAGGAUCAUUCACAAGAUUAUAUUUUAUAUUACUUUGUGGAACAUUUGGUUGAAUUUACAUGUUUUAUUACAAAAAAUUAAUUAUAAUUAAAAAAAUAAUUUUAAGAAAACCUCCAACAACGGAUCUCUUGGUUCCCAGAUCGAUGAAGAGCGCAGCGAAUUGCGAAAUGUGAUGUGUAUUGCAGUGAAUCAUCAAUUCUUGAACGCACAUGGCACCCCUUUUAGGGGUAUGCUUGUAUGAGGGUGUUUAAUAUGAAAUUGCUUUGGCUUUUUUUAAAUAAAUGGUUUUUCAAAUUGUUACUAAUAGACGAAAGAAUCAGUGCAACAAGCUGUGUUGAAUCUUUCAUUAAAUCUUUUAGUUAACUACUUUAACUAUUUGCACCUCAUAUCAAGCAAGACUACCCGCUGAACUUAAGCAUAUCAAUAAGCGGAGGAAAAGAAACCAACAGGGAUUGCCUUAGUAACGGCGAGUGAAGCGGCAAAAGCUCAAUUUGAAAACGCUUCGGCGUGUUGUAAGUAAAGUGGUUAGACGCUUUUUAAUAAGUCCCUUGGAACAGGGCGCCAUAGAGGGUGAUAGCCCCGUAUUAAAUUGUCUAGUGUGCUACUUUAGAGCGAGUCGAGUUGUUUGGGAAUGCAGCUCA
rnacentral:misc_RNA from 1 species